rnacentral:rRNA from 1 species
GAUGAACGCUGGCGGCGUGCCUAAUACAUGCAAGUCGAGCGAACAGACGAGGAGCUUGCUCCUCUGACGUUAGAGGCGGACGGGUGAGUAACACGUGGAUAACCUACCUAUAAGACUGGGAUAACUUCGGGAAACCGGAGCUAAUACCGGAUAAUAUAUUGAACCGCAUGGGUCAAUAGUGAAAGACGGUUUUGCGGUCACUUAUAGAUGGAUCCGCGCCGCAUUAGCUAGUUGGUAAGGUAACGGCUUACCAAGGCAACGAUGCGUAGCCGACCUGAGAGGGUGAUCGGCCACACUGGAACGGGGGCACGGUCCAGCCUCCUACGGGAGGCAGCCGUAGGGAAUCUUCCGCAAUGGGCGAAAGCCUGACGGAGCAACGCCGCGUGAGUGAUGAAGGUCUUCGGAUCGUAAAACUCUGUUAUUAGGGAAGAACAAAUGUGUAAGUAACUAUGCACGUCUUGACGGUACCUAAUCAGAAAGCCACGGCUAACUACGUG